rnacentral:tRNA from 1 species
GGUUGGAGAGAUGGCUCAGUGGGUAAGAGCGCUGACUGCUCUUCCAGAGGUCCUGAGUUCAAUUCCCAGCAACCA